rnacentral:rRNA from 1 species
CCUACGAGAGGCAGCAGUGGGGGAUAUUGCACAAUGGGGGGAACCCUGAUGUAGCGACGCCGCGUGGGUGAAGGAGCGUUUCGGCGCGUAAAGCCCUAUCGGCAGGGGAGCAGAUGACGGUACCUGUCCAAGUAGCACCGGCUAAAUACGUGCCAGCAGCCGCGGGAACACGUAGGGAGCAAGCGUUAUCCGGAUUUAAUGGGUGGAAAGGGGGCGCAGACGGCAAUGCAAGCCAGGAGGGAAAGCCCGGGGCCGAACCCCGGGACUGCUCUUGGAACUGCUUGGCUUGAGUACAGGAGGGGCAGGCGGAAUUCCUAGUGGAGCGGUGAAAUGCGUAGAUAUUAGGAAGAACACCGGUGGCGAAGGCGGCCUGCUGGACUGUGACUGACGUUGAGGCACGAAGGCGUGGGGAGCAAACAGGAUUAGAUACCCUGGUAGUC